rnacentral:other from 1 species
UGCUCUCUGUAGUGUCGUCGGUAAAGAUCUCGAGCCGAUGCGUAUUACCCAGGAGGGUUUCACUCGCUGAUGUGCGCAUGUCCGGUACUCCGGAAAGCCUUAUUCAAUGACGAACCUUCCACCUUGAACCAUAGGGUUCAAGAGCUUUCACCGGCAUAUGGCACUGCAGUGAGCUU